GCUCGGAUGGUCUAGUGGUAUGAUUCUCGCUUAGGGUCGCUCCUUAAGUACCAAUUGGUUUGCGAGAGGUCCCAGGUUCAAAUCCUGGUUCGAGCC